GAGAGGGGAAGGGGUUAAAAGCGGUGCACGGCGCUGUGUGCGCCUUGUUGGGGUGGGGAGGGUGCGAGGUGUUUGUGGUGCAAUGCACGGCUUGCAAUAAACUUGCGUUCUGAUGCACGGGGUGCAAAUCUCCCGGGCAAUAAAUCCCCAUUACAAUGCACUGCAGCGGUGCAGACGGUGCAAAGCAGCCGCGUUGCAAUCCUGGAGGUGUGAGGUGUUUGUGGUGCAAUGCACGGCUUGCAAUAAACUUGCGUUCUGAUGCACGGGGUGCAAAUCUCCAGGGCAAUAAAUCCCCGUUGCAAUGCA